CUUUUUUUUUUUGCACCAAAAGCAGUGAAGAUUGUGUUAUGAUUGAAGAGUCAAUUAAUGCAGUCUGACUGAAAAUUCAGAGGUUUGACAGUGAUACAAUGACACCAUCUGCUUGCAGAAGUGCACUUGCACUCUCUUAUUCUCUGCCAUUAUGGUAACGCUACACACUUGGCAAGUCGACUGAGGGAUUUGUUCUGGAAACCAAAGAUAAUUGCAGGGCUGUAGACAACAGCUUCCAACUGACAGACGUUUGUCAAUGUAACUGUGCUUUCUCUAGGUCACUGCCAACAUUGCUCGAGAUGUGUUUCCACCCACAGUGUUUGAGCUGUCUUACUUGUAUGUGAUAAUGUUCUUCUAUUGGGAGGUGUCAGUGAAAAAGCAUAGUGUAAAAGUGUACCAGAAUUAGCGGUGUUUGGAAUCCAUGAAAUAUAUUACUUCUCUCUAUUUUCCUUCCCCAGCAGUGUUGCACUUCUCACUUCUAUGGAUCCCACAGCCCUUCAAUAGAGCUGAUCUCGACAGAACAUCACUGCAGGGCACAGAUGACCACUGCGUAUCCAUCUUGUCUAAAUGAAAGCUGAACAGUAUCUUAUGAGGCUGACCUCACUCCUGGAUUGGUUCAUUCAGACCACCGUAGAAGGUCCAAGAAGAUACAUUUCUUAAGCUGUAUCACAUCUAAAAAUCCAGUUUGAAUUCUUCAGAGAUAUGG